AUAGCGUAUAUUAAAGUUGUUGUGGUUAAAAAGCUCGUAGUUGAACCUUGGGCCUGGCUGGCCGGUCCCCCUCACCGGGUGUACUGGUCCGGCCGGGUCUUUCCCUCUGUGGAACCUCAUGCCCUUCACUGGGUGUGCUGGGGAAACAGGACUUUUACUUUGAAAAAAUUAGAGUGCUCCAGGCAGGCCUAUGCUCGAAUACUUCAGCAUGGAAUAAUAGAAUAGGACGUGUGGUUCUAUUUUGUUGGUUUCUAGGACCGCCGUAAUGAUUAAUAGGGACAGUCGGGGGCAUCAGUAUUCAAUUGUCAGAGGUGAAAUUCUUGGAUUUAUUGAAGACGAACUACUG
rnacentral:rRNA from 1 species